rnacentral:rRNA from 1 species
GACGAACGCUGGCGGCGUGCUUAACACAUGCAAGUCGAACGAAGUGGCGAACGGGUGAGUAACGCGUAAUCAACCUGCCCUUCAGAGGGGGACAACAGUUGGAAACGACUGCUAAUACCGCAUACGGAAGGAGGGGAUUGCGUCGGAUUAGCUAGUGGGAGGGGUAACGGCCCACCAAGGCGAUGAUAAGUAGCCUGUCUGAGGGGGUGGACGGCCAAAUUGGGACUGAGACACGGCCCAGACUCCUACUGGAGUCAGCAGUGGGGAAUCUUCCGCAAUGGACGGAAGUCUGACGGAGCAACGCCGCGUGAGUGAUGACGGCCUUCGGGUUGGAAAGCUCUGUUAAUCGGGACGCGGUACCGGAAUAGAAAGCCACGGCUAACUACGUGCCAGCAGCCGCGGUAAUAC